rnacentral:rRNA from 1 species
AGGGAAUAUUGGGCAAUGGAGGAAACUCUGACCCAGCAACGCCGCGUGGAGGAUGAAGGUCUUCGGAUUGUAAACUUCUGAUCUAUGGAAAGAAUAAAUGACGGUACCAUAGGAGAAAGCUACGGCCAACUACGUGCCAGCAGCCGCGGUAAUACGUAGGUAGCAAGCAUUGUCCGGAAUAACUGGGCGUAAAGGGAGAGUAGGUGGUAAAGUAAGUUAAAUGUGAAAUUCCGAGGCUUAACUUCGGGGGUGCAUUUGAUACUGCUUUACUAGAGUGCAGGAGGGGUAAGAGGAAUUCCUAGUGUAGAGGUAAAAUUCGUAGAUAUUAGGAGGAACACCAGAGGCGAAGGCGUCUUACUGGAAUGUAACUGACACUGAGGCUCGAAAGCGUGGGGAGCAAAC